UGAGGAAUAUUGCGCAAUGGACGAAAGUCUGACGCAGCAACGCCGCGUGAAGGAUGAAGGCCCUCUGGGUUGUAAACUUCUGUAGAGGGGGAAAAAUGUCUCAUACGUUGAGAUUGAUGGUACCCCUAAAGUAAGCUUCGGCUAACUACGUGCCAGCAGCCGCGGUAAUACGUAGGAAGCAAGCGUUGUCCGGAUUUAUUGGGUGUAAAGGGUGCGCAGGCGGAAUGGCAAGUCGGUGGUGAAAUCCUCGUGCUUAACACGAGAGCUGCCAUCGAUACUGCUGUUCUUGAGUGCGGGAGAGAGUGAUGGAAUUCCAGGUGUAGCAGUGAAAUGUGUAGAUAUCUGGAAGAACACCAGUGGCGAAGGCAGUCACUUGGCCCGUAACUGACGCUCAUGCACGAAAGCGUGGGGAGCAAACAG
rnacentral:rRNA from 1 species